rnacentral:rRNA from 1 species
GUGCAAUGCGCGAAAGCGCGACACGGGAAACCUGAGUGCCUUGACAUUAGUCAAGGCUUUUAUUAAGCCUAAAAAGCUUAAGGAAUAAGAGCUGGGUAAGACGGGUGCCAGCCGCCGCGGUAACACCCGCAGCUCGAGUGGUGGUCACUUUUAUUGAGCCUAAAGCGUUCGUAGCCGGCUUCGUAAAUCUUCAGACAAAUUCUUCUGCUUAACAGAAGAUCCUCUGGAGAGACUGCGGAGCUUGGGACCGGGUGAGGUUGAAGGUACUUCUGGGGUAGGGGUAAAAUCCUGUAAUCCUAGAAGGACGACCGGUGGCGAAGGCGUUCAACUAGAACGGAUCCGACGGUGAGGAACGAAGGCUAGGGGAGCAAACCGG